AAGAGUCAAGCCUGCCCAGUGAAAAAUUUAACGGCCGCGGUACUCUGACCGUGCGAAGGUAGCAUAAUCAUUUGCCUUUCAAUUGAAGGCUAGUAUGAAAGGUCUGACGAAAGCUAAGCUGUCUUUUAUUAAAUAAAAUGAAAUUGACUUUUAGGUGCAAAGGCCUAUAUUUAACUAAAAGACAAGAAGACCCUAUUGAGCUUUAAAACUUAAAAAGAGUAAAGCAUAUUGUAAUAAGAUUUUAAUUCUUUUAAACUUUUUAGUUGGGGCGACUUUGGAACAAUGGCAGCUUCCUAAAAUUAAAAAUACUUUUAGGUUUUGAUCCAAAAUAUUUUGAUUAAUAGAAUUAGUUACCAUAGGGAUAACAGCAUAAUUCUUCUUAAGAGUUCUAAUCGAAAGAAGGGAUUGUGACCUCGAUGUUGGACUAGAAUAUCCUAAAGGUGCAGAAGUUUUUGAAGGUUGGUCUGUUCG
rnacentral:rRNA from 1 species